rnacentral:rRNA from 1 species
GAUGAACGCUAGCGGCAGGCUUAAUACAUGCAAGUCGAGGGGCAGCAUGGUGUAGCAAUACACUGAUGGCGACCGGCAAACGGGUGCGGAACACGUACAGAACCUUCCUUCGAGCGGGGAAUAGCCCAGAGAAAUUUGGAUUAAUACCCCAUAGUACAAUAGAGUGGCAUCACUUUGUUGUUAAAGAUUUAUCACUUGAAGAUGGCUGUGCGGCUGAUUAGGUAGUUGGCGGGGUAACGGCCCACCAAGCCUGCGAUCAGUAACUGGUGUGAGAGCACGACCAGUCACACGGGCACUGAGACACGGGCCCGACUCCUACGGGAGGCAGCAGUAAGGAAUAUUGGUCAAUGGACGAAAGUCUGAACCAGCCAUGCCGCGUGGAGGAUGAAGGUCCUCUGGAUUGUAAACUUCUUUUAUAUGGGACGAAAAAAGGCCUUUCUAGGUCGUCUGACGGUACCAUGUGAAUAAGCACCGGCUAACUCCGUGCCAGCCGCCGCGGUAACAC